GCUUGGCCCUAAACCUCAGUAGUUAGAUAACAAAACUACUCGCCAGAAUACUACGAGCAACAGCUUAAAACUCAAAGGACUUGACGGUGCUUUACAUCCCCCUAGAGGAGCCUGUUCCGUAAUCGAUAAACCCCGAUCCACCCCACCCUCUCUUGCUCAGCCUAUAUACCGCCAUCUUCAGCAAACCCUAAUGAAGGCUACAAAGUGAGCGCAAACGCCACUGCCGCGAAUACGUUAGGUCAAGGUGUAGCCCAUGAGACGGUAAAAAAUGGGCUACAUUUUCUAUCUCAGAAAACCCCACGAAAACUCUUAUGAAACUUAAGAGUCCAAGGAGGAUUUAGCAGUAAAUUAAGAAUAGAGUGCUUAAUUGAACCAGGCCAUAAAGCGCGC
rnacentral:rRNA from 1 species